rnacentral:tRNA from 1 species
AGAGAAUGGUGUAUAAAGGUAGCACGGGGAAUUUUGAGUUCUCAGGGUUAGGUUCAAUUCCUAAAGCUCUAG